UUCCGUAGGUGAACCUGCGGAAGGAUCAUUACCGAGUUGAUUCGAGCUCCGGCUCGACUCUCCCACCCAAUGUGUACCUACCUCUGUUGCUUUGGCGGGCCGCGGUCCUCCGCACCGGCGCCCUUCGGGGGGCUGGCCAGCGCCCGCCAGAGGACCAUAAAACUCCAGUCAGUGAACUUCGCAGUCUGAAAAACAAGUUAAUAAACUAAAACUUUCAACAACGGAUCUCUUGGUUCUGGCAUCGAUGAAGAACGCAGCGAAAUGCGAUAAGUAAUGUGAAUUGCAGAAUUCAGUGAAUCAUCGAAUCUUUGAACGCACAUUGCGCCCCUUGGUAUUCCGAGGGGCAUGCCUGUUCGAGCGUCAUUUCAACCCUCAAGCUCUGCUUGGUAUUGGGCCUCGUCCUCCACGGACGCGCCUUAAAGACCUCGGCGGUGGCGUCUUGCCUCAAGCGUAGUAGAAAACACCUCGCUUUGGAGCGCACGGCGUCGCCCGCCGGACGAACCUUUGAAUUAUUUCUCAAGGUUGACCUCGGAUCAGGUAGGGAUACCCGCUGAACUUAAGCAUAUCAAUAAGCGGAGG
rnacentral:rRNA from 1 species